GCGGUUCCCUCUCGGCGGAGAAAGGUCCGAGACGUCGUGGACAGCCCCGGUAAAACAGGGAGCGCCCCCGAGCGCCGGCGCUUCCUCCCUGCAACCUGCGGUGGGCUGUGUUAGCAGAGGGAAUCAGGGAUGUCUUAACUUUCAGAUACUUGUUCAGUUCCCCUUUGAAAGCUACAGGUGCAAAUGUCUACAGACUUUCUGCAGAGAGCAUCCUGCAUGAUUGCACCACUGCCUGGAAUGGAGGCUGGGAACCGCAGGAUCAAAGGAAGCUGCAGAGGGUUAUAGACUCAGAUAGUAACACCCUCUGCUCCAGCGAGGAUACCUUUCAAAAAAGGUGGCAUCCAUCUUCAAGGACUUUCACCAGUCGGGACUUGCUGUCCUUGUUACUACCUUUGCGGAGGAGGAAGAGGAAUCUGAGGAUCCACACUCAAUGUUUUGGGACAGCUUCUUUCGCAAAUUCCAUGACGUAUGUUAGCGAUAAUAAACUUGACUCUGAUUCUAAAUUUACCUCCACUACUAUACUAACCCUGUUCAUGGAGUCUGGACCAUGUUAAAAAGGUGUUUAAAAAUAAUCUGUUCCAUUUUUUUCCUAUCCUCUUCAGUUUUGUGUUCUUUAGGUGUGACCUCAAAAAUAAAGUUUGUUUUUACCUACACUGAA